rnacentral:lncRNA from 1 species
CUACGCUUACUUUUAGGCCAGUUUGUUCAAAAGAUACAUAUUCUCUUUUUUUUUUUAAUUCUUAUUCUUCUAACUCUAUUCAGAUCAUUUUUUGUUGACCCAUGUAAGCAAUAUUAUUCAGAUCAUUUUUUGUCGACCCAUGCAAAUAAUAUCGAAAAUUGAAAAUAUUACGUAAAAAGUAGUUACUUGAUUUGUAGGUUUUUAAUUGACCAGCCUGCGGAGAAAAAAAAUAGGAAGAAAAAGAGUAUCAAAAUAAUUAGUUACAUGUUUGUAAUGAAUUAUUUAUUU